GCAAGUUUGGACAAAUCCUAUGAACCGGAGAUAGUGCCAUGUGAGUUCGGGGGUUUUAGUCUCCUGUGUCGAUGUGGGUGAAAGUGAUCCAAGUGACACAUUUUUUCUUAAAAGCACGGAAAGCCAUAUAUUGGAAAUUGGUAAUAAAAAUCAUAUUUUACACAAAAAUACAAAGUAUGACUACACGUGUUGUCAUGUUGUACGUCAUAUACGAUCUUAAAAAUCGUGUGGUUCAUAUAUUUAUAAAAUGUUUAGUGACAUACUAGGCCAACCAUUCUACAUGAAUUUAACCAUUUUAUCUCUACAUGUAUUUAUAAAAUGUUUAGUGACAUACUAGUUUGUCAAAAGACCAUAUCCUUGUCGAAAAUGAGAAAUGCAUCUGACCCGGUACAUAUACCCUGUCGUUGCGCCACCUGUUUAAUCCAAGUUUGGACAAAUCUUCUAAACUGGAGAGGUUGCCUUGUGUGUUUGGUUUUCUAGAAAUUUCUAUCCAAAUUUCU
rnacentral:lncRNA from 1 species